GACAGAGGGUGCAAACGUUGCUCGGAAUUACUGGGCGUAAAGCGCGUGUAGGCGGAUCGGAAAGUCGGGCGUGAAAUCCCCAGGCUCAACCUGGGAACUGCACCCGAAACUCCCGGUCUUGAAUGGUGGAGAGGGAGGUGGAAUUCCUGGUGUAGAGGUGAAAUUCGUAGAUAUCAGGAGGAACACCAGUGGCGAAGGCGGCUUCCUGGACACCAACUGACGCUGAGACGCGAAAGCGUGGGGAGCAAACAGG
rnacentral:rRNA from 1 species